UGGGGAAUCUUGCGCAAUGGGCGAAAGCCUGACGCAGCAACGCCGCGUGCGGGAUGAAGGCCUUCGGGUUGUAAACCGCUUUCAGAAGGAACGAAACUGACGGUACUUUCAGAAGAAGGUGCGGCCAACUACGUGCCAGCAGCCGCGGUGACACGUAGGCACCAAGCGUUGUCCGGAUUUAUUGGGCGUAAAGAGCUCGUAGGCGGUUCGAAAAGUCGGGUGUGAAAACUUUGGGCUUAACCCAAAGCGUGCAUUCGAUACUGUCGUGACUAGAGUUCGGUAGGGGAGUGGGGAAUUCCUAGUGUAGCGGUGAAAUGCGCAGAUAUUAGGAGGAACACCGGUGGCGAAGGCGCCACUCUGGGCCGAAACUGACGCUGAGGAGCGAAAGCGUGGGUAGCAAACAGG
rnacentral:rRNA from 1 species